UACGUAGGGUGCGAGCGUUGUCCGGAAUUAUUGGGCGUAAAGAGCUUGUAGGCGGUUUGUCGCGUCUGCUGUGAAAAUCCGGGGCUCAACCCCGGACUUGCAGUGGGUACGGGCAGACUAGAGUGUGGUAGGGGAGACUGGAAUUCCUGGUGUAGCGGUGAAAUGCGCAGAUAUCAGGGGGAACACCGGAUGGCGAAGGCAGGUCUCUGGGCCACUACUGACGCUGAGAAGCGAAAGCAUGGGGAGCGAACAGGAUUAGAUACCCCCGUA
rnacentral:rRNA from 1 species